rnacentral:rRNA from 1 species
GCUUGUCUCAAAGAUUAAGCCAUGCAUGUCUUAGUGUAAAUAACUCUUAUGAAACUGCGAAUGGCUCAUUAAAUCAGAAACUGUUUAUUUGAUAGUGCCUACUACAUGGAUACCUGUAGUAAUUCUAGAGCUAAUACAUGCAAAAAGCCUGGACUUCUGGAACAGGCGUAUUUAUUAGAUAUACAAACCAACCGCUUCGGCGACCCUUGGUGACUCAUAAUAACUUCGCGAAUCGUUUUCGGACGAUGAUUCAUUCAAAUUUCUGCCCUAUCAGCUUUUGAUGGUAGGGUAUUGGCCUACCAUGGCUCUCACGGGUAACGGGGAAUUAGGGUUCGAUUCCGGAGAAGGAGCCUGAGAAACGGCUACUACAUCUAAGGAAGGCAGCAGG